rnacentral:rRNA from 1 species
GACGAACGCUGGCGGCGUGCUUAACACAUGCAAGUUGAGCGAUGAAGCUCCUUCGGGAGUGGAUUAGCGGCGGACGGGUGAGUAACACGUGGGCAACCUGCCUUAUAGAGAGGAAUAGCCAUCCGAAAGGAUGAUUAAUACCUCAUAAUAUUGUAGUUUCGCAUGAAGCAACAAUCAAAGGAGCAAUCCACUAUAAGAUGGGCCCGCGGCGCAUUAGCUAGUUGGUGAGGUAACGGCUCACCAAGGCGACGAUGCGUAGCCGACCUGAGAGGGUGAUCGGCCACAUUGGGACUGAGACACGGCCCAGACUCCUACGGGAGGCAGCAGUGGGGAAUAUUGCACAAUGGGGGAAACCCUGAUGCAGCAACGCCGCGUGAGUGAUGACGGCCUUCGGGUUGUAAAGCUCUGUCUUCAGGGACGAUAAUGACGGUACCCGAGGAGGAAGCCACGGCUAACUACGUGCCAGCCGCCGCCGUAA